CGAAUGCUGACAUAAGUAACGAUAAAGCGGGUGAAAAGCCCGCUCGCCGGAAGACCAAGGGUUCCUGUCCAACGUUAAUCGGGGCAGGGUGAGUCGACCCCUAAGGCGAGGCCGAAAGGCGUAGUCGAUGGGAAACAGGUUAAUAUUCCUGUACUUGGUGUUACUGCGAAGGGGGGACGGAGAAGGCUAUGUUGGCCGGGCGACGGUUGUCCCGGUUUAAGCGUGUAGGCUGGUUUUCCAGGCAAAUCCGGAAAAUCAAGGCUGAGGCGUGAUGACGAGGCACUACGGUGCUGAAGCAACAAAUGCCCUGCUUCCAGGAAAAGCCUCUAAGCAUCAGGUAACAUCAAAUCGUACCCCAAACCGACACAGGUGGUCAGGUAGAGAAUACCAAGGCGCUUGAGAGAACUCGGGUGAAGGAACUAGGCAAAAUGGUGCCGUAACUUCGGGAGAAGGCACGCUGAUAUGUAGGUGAAGUCCCUCGCGGAUGGAGCUGAAAUCAGUCGAAGAUACCAGCUGGCUGCAACUGUUUAUUAAAAACACAGCACUGUGCAAACACGAAAGUGGACGUAUACGGUGUGACGCCUGCCCGGUGCCGGAAGGUUAAUUGAUGGGGUCAGCGCAAGCGAAGCUCUUGAUCGAAGCCCCGGUAAACGGCGGCCGUAACUAUAACGGUCCUAAGGUAGCGAAAUUCCUUGUCGGGUAAGUUCCGACCUGCACGAAUGGCGUAAUGAUGGCCAGGCUGUCUCCACCCGAGACUCAGUGAAAUUGAACUCGCUGUGAAGAUGCAGUGUACCCGCGGCAAGACGGAAAGACCCCGUGAACCUUUACUAUAGCUUGACACUGAACAUUGAGCCUUGAUGUGUAGGAUAGGUGGGAGGCUUUGAAGUGUGGACGCCAGUCUGCAUGGAGCCGACCUUGAAAUACCACCCUUUAAUGUUUGAUGUUCUAACGUGGACCCGUGAUCCGGGUUGCGGACAGUGUCUGGUGGGUAGUUUGACUGGGGCGGUCUCCUCCUAAAGAGUAACGGAGGAGCACGAAGGUUGGCUAAUCCUGGUCGGACAUCAGGAGGUUAGUGCAAUGGCAUAAGCCAGCUUGACUGCGAGCGUGACGGCGCGAGCAGGUGCGAAAGCAGGUCAUAGUGAUCCGGUGGUUCUGAAUGGAAGGGCCAUCGCUCAACGGAUAAAAGGUACUCCGGGGAUAACAGGCUGAUACCGCCCAAGAGUUCAUAUCGACGGCGGUGUUUGGCACCUCGAUGUCGGCUCAUCACAUCCUGGGGCUGAAGUAGGUCCCAAGGGUAUGGCUGUUCGCCAUUUAAAGUGGUACGCGAGCUGGGUUUAGAACGUCGUGAGACAGUUCGGUCCCUAUCUGCCGUGGGCGCUGGAGAACUGAGGGGGGCUGCUCCUAGUACGAGAGGACCGGAGUGGACGCAUCACUGGUGUU
rnacentral:rRNA from 2 species